rnacentral:rRNA from 1 species
UGGGGGUUUUCGUCUCAGAUUAGCCAUGCAUGUGUAAGUAUAAAUAAUUCUACUUUGAAACUGCGAAUGGCUCAUUAUAUCAGUUAUAGUUUAUUAGAAAUAAUUUUCUACUUGGAUAACCGUAGUAAUUCUAGGGCUAAUACAUGAGUAAAUCCUCGACUUUGAAGAGGUGUGUUUAUUAGUAUGAAAACCAUAUGCUUUUGCAUGAUAGUGAGUAAUAAUAACCUUUCAUAUCGCCUGUUUUUAUUACCAAUAUUUUUUUCAAUUUUCGCCCCUAUCACUUUUCAUGGGUAUGGUAUGGAACUACCAGGGAAUAACCGGGAAACAAAAAAUUGGGGUUCAAUUUCGAAAAGGAAGCCGAAAAAAUGGUACCCACUUCAAGGGAAGGCAGCAGGCCCUAAAUUUACCCAUCCUGGACAUAGGAAGGUAUGGACAAUAAUCCCCAUGGCGGAACUUUUUAUUUUUGCUGUGUUGUGAAAAUGUGUACAAGAUAUCUAUAUAAAUUUUGGGGGGCAUCUGGGGUGCCAGCCGCGCUAAUUCUCCUCUCCAAUAGCAUAUAUUAACUGUUGUGCAAUAAAGCUCUC